rnacentral:rRNA from 1 species
GAUGAACGCUGGCGGCGUGCCUAAUACAUGCAAGUCGAGCGAACAGACGAGGAGCUUGCUCCUCUGACGUUAGCGGCGGACGGGUGAGUAACACGUGGAUAACCUACCUAUAAGACUGGGAUAACUUCGGGAAACAGGAGCUAAUACCGGAUAAUAUAUUGAACCGCAUGGUUCAAUAGUGAAAGACGGUUUUGCUGUCACUUAUAGAUGGAUCCGCGCCGCAUUAGCUAGUUGGUAAGGUAACGGCUUACCAAGGCAACGAUGCGUAGCCGACCUGAGAGGGUGAUCGGCCACACUGGAACUGAGACACGGUCCAGACUCCUACGGGAGGCAGCAGUAGGGAAUCUUCCGCAAAGGGCGAAAGCCUGACGGAGCAACGCCGCGUGAGUGAUGAAGGUCUUCGGAUCGUAAAACUCUGUUAUUAGGGAAGAACAAAUGUGUAAGUAACUAUGCACGUCUUGACGGUACCUAAUCAGAAAGCCACGGCUAACUACGUG